rnacentral:rRNA from 1 species
CCUACGGGAGGCAGCAGUGGGGAAUAUUGCACAAUGGGGGAAACCCUGAUGCAGCGACGCCGCGUGAGUGAGGAAGUAUUUCGGUAUGUAAAGCUCUAUCAGCAGGGAAGAAAAUGACGUUACCUGACUAAGAAGCCCCGGCGAACUACGUGCCAGCAGCCGCGGUAAUACGCAGGGGGCAAGCGUUAUCCGGAUUUACUGGGUGUAAAGGGAGCGUAGACGGUUAAUCAAGUCAGAAGUGAAAAGCCAGGGCUCAACCUUGGGACUGCUUUGGAAACUGAGGAGCUAGAGUGCAGGAGAGGUAAGCGGAAUUCGUAGUGUAGCGGUGAAAUGCGUAGAUAUUAGGAGGAACACCAGUGGCGAAGGCGGCUUGCUGGACUGUAACUGACGUUGAGGCUCGAAAGCGUGGGGAGCGAACAGGAUUAGAUACCCGAGUAGUC